GUGUUGUAUGAAAGGAGAUAAGGUCAACACUCCCACUGACAAGGAUGGAAGAGGCCUUUGGAGAUAAAAAAAAAAUAGCAUACAUUUAAGGUAUUGCCGCCAACUUCAUGGCAUCAAAACAUUUUUA
rfam:Ictidomys tridecemlineatus contig063516, whole genome shotgun sequence.